GGGGCAGUAGCUCGAUGGUAGAGCUCUCGCUUCGUGCGCGGGAAGACCAGGGUUCGAUUCCCGGCUGUUUGC
rnacentral:tRNA from 1 species